rnacentral:rRNA from 1 species
UACGUAGGGUGCGAGCGUUAAUCGGAAUUACUGGGCGUAAAGCGUGCGUAGGCGGUUCGUGAUGUCUGGUGUGAAAGCCCCGGGCUUAACCUGGGAAUUGCAUUGGAAACUAGCGGGCUGGAGUGUGGCAGAGGGGGGUGGAAUUCCACGUGUAGCAGUGAAAUGCGUAGAGAUGUGGAGGAACACCGAUGGCGAAGGCAGCCCCCUGGGCUAACACUGACGCUCAUGCACGAAAGCGUGGGGAGCAAACAGG